rnacentral:rRNA from 1 species
UGGGGAAUCUUGCACAAUGGGCGAAAGCCUGAUGCAGCAACGCCGCGUGCGGGAAGAAGGCCCUCGGGUUGUAAACCGCUUUCAGAAGGAACGAAACUGACGGUACUUUCAGAAGAAGGUGCGGCCAACUACGUGCCAGCAGCCGCGGUGACACGUAGGCACCAAGCGUUGUCCGGAUUUAUUGGGCGUAAAGAGCUCGUAGGCGGUUCAGUAAGUCGGGUGUGAAAACUUUGGGCUUAACCCAAAGCGUGCAUCCGAUACUGCUGUGACUUGAGUACGGUAGGGGAGCGGGGAAUUCCUAGUGUAGCGGUGAAAUGCGCAGAUAUUAGGAGGAACACCGGUGGCGAAGGCGCCGCUCUGGGCCGAAACUGACGCUGAGGAGCGAAAGCAUGGGUAGCAAACAGGAUUAGAUACCCUGGUAGUCCCUGAGCGGGCUGGCAAGGCGCAU